AUUGAACGCUGGCGGCGUGCCUCAGACAUGCAAGUCGAACGCGAAAGUCCCCUUCGGGGGACAAGUAGAGUGGCGCACGGGUGAGUAACACGUAGGUAAUCUACCUUCGGAUGGGGAAUAACAACCGGAAACGGUUGCUAAUACCGCAUAAUGCAGCGGCACCUAAUGGUGACAGUUGUUAAAGCGGGGGAUCGAAAGACCUCGCGUCUGAAGAGGAGCCUGCGGCGGAUUAGCUAGUUGGUAAGGUAACGGCUUACCAAGGCGACGAUCCGUAGCCGGCCUGAGAGGGCGGUCGGCCACACUGACACUGACAUACGGGUCAGACUCCUACGGGAGGCAGCAGUCGGGAAUUUUGGGCAAUGGGCGAAAGCCUGACCCAGCAACGCCGCGUGAAGGAUGAAAUCCCUCGGGAUGUAAACUUCGCAAGAACGGGAAGAAUAAGUAGGGGACAAUACCCCCUAUGAUGACGGUACCGUUUGUAAGCUCCGGCUAACUCCGUGCCAGCAGCCGCGGUAAUACGGGGGGAGCAAGCGUUGUUCGGAUUUACUGGGCGUAAAGGGCGCGUAGGCGGCCAGCACAAGUCAGUUGUGAAAUCUCCGAGCUUAACUCGGAAAGGUCAACUGAUACUGUGCGGCUAGAGUGCGGAAGGGGCAACUGGAAUUCUUGGUGUAGCGGUGGAAUGCGUAGAUAUCAAGAGGAACACCUGCGGCGAAGGCGGGUUGCUGGGCCGACACUGACGCUGAGGCGCGAAAGCGUGGGGAG
rnacentral:rRNA from 1 species